rnacentral:tRNA from 1 species
GUGGGCGUAGCUCAGAUGGUAGAGCCCUGGAUUGUGGUUCCAGUUGCCACGGGUUCGAGUCCCGUCGUCCACCCCA